GCUCUCUGAAUGUUGAAGGUGCUUUUGGAAAAUAUAACCUCUACAUUCAUCUAGAGCGCCUCAUCAUUUGUUCUACUACUACCAAGCCUCUAAUACCUGAUCACUGGCUUUGGAUUUGAUUCAACAUAGAGACAUUUACACAUAUACCACUUCACAGCAAACGUGAAUGAAAGUAUGUCGGGAGAUAAGAGCGAUAACCGCCGCGAACUUGGAACAAAACGCAGGCUCAACCAUGUUGCAAGUUCUGAAACCGUCGCUACAGAGAGGUGGCCUAUGUAGAAAAUAUAAAGGACUCGCCGGUUUCAAGCGGGUGAGAUACAAAUGUCGAACGUAACAGCAGAGCCCGCAUUCUGAGCUCGGCUACGAAAGCAAACACGUA